GGUGUAGCCAAGUUGGUAAGGCACAGGACUUUGACUCCUGUAUGCGUAGGUUCGAGCCCUGCCAC
rnacentral:tRNA from 1 species